CGUAGGGUGCGAGCGUUAAUCGGAAUUACUGGGCGUAAAGCGUGCGCAGGCGGUUUUGUAAGCCAGAUGUGAAAUCCCCGGGCUCAACCUGGGAGUGGCAUUUGGGACUGCAAGGCUGGAGUGUGGCAGAGGAGACUGGAAUUCCUGGUGUAGCAGUGGAAUGCGUAGAUAUCAGGAGGAAUACCGAUGGCGAAGGCAGGUCUCUGGGCUAACACUGACGCUCAUGCACGAAAGCGUGGGGAGCAAACAGGAUUAGAUACCCUGGUAGUCCACGCCCUAAACGAUGUCGACUGGUUGUUGGGGGCAACUAGGCUCUCAGUGUCGAAGCUAACGCGUUAAGUUCGCCGACCUGGGAGUACGGUCGCAAGACUG
rnacentral:rRNA from 1 species